UUUUCGUUUUUCUCUUCCCCACGUCAUCCCCGCACGAAAAUCGCGCCCUCCGCCUACCUCGGCGCGGAGAACCACGGAUGAAACUAGGAAAACGUCGGAGCGAAAACAAAAGAAUAACGGAAUUGUUCGAGGCCACGUAAAGGCGAAAAUUAUUUUCGAAAUAAGAAAAGUUGGAGGAGGAGUUCGCGCGGCGUCACGAAAAGCAGCAGCGUUUUACACGAGCCGGGCCAUAUUCAAUUUCUGAAUUAUGCGCAGACUUCGGCAGGGGUCAGGGGCAUUUUAGAGACGAUGGAAAUUCACCCCGAUCCGCACAGAGGAAUGCUAAAGAGCGCCCUCUUCAAUUUACAAAUUACGAUCUCCGACUAGAAG
rnacentral:misc_RNA from 1 species